rnacentral:rRNA from 1 species
GACAGAGGGUGCAAACGUUGUUCGGAAUUACUGGGCGUAAAGCGCGUGUAGGCUGCUUCGCAAGUCGGAUGUGAAAGCCCUGGGCUCAACCCAGGAAGUGCAUUCGAAACUGCAGAGCUGGAGUCCUGGAGAGGAAGGGCGGAAUUCUCGGUGUAGAGGUGAAAUUCGUAGAUAUCGAGAGGAACACCGGUGGCGAAGGCGGCCUUCUGGACAGUGACUGACGCUGAGACGCGAAAGCGUGGGGAGCGAACAGG